GAUGAAGAACGUAGCAAAUGCGAUACGUAAUGUGAAUUGCAAAUUCAGUGAAUCAUCGAGUCUUUGAACGCACAUUGCGCCCCCUGGUAUUCCGGGGGGCAUGCCUGUCCGAGCGUCAUUGCUGCCCUCAAGCACGGCUUGUGUGUUGGGCCCCGUCCUCCGAUCCCGGGGGACGGGCCCGAAAGGCAGCGGCGGCACCGCGUCCGGUCCUCGAGCGUAUGGGGCUUUGUCACCCGCUCUGUAGGCCCGGCCGGCGCUUGCCGAUCAACCCAAAUUUUUAUCCAGGUUGACCUCGGAUCAGGUAGGGAUACCCGCUGAACUUAAGCAUAUCAAUAAGCGGAGGA
rnacentral:misc_RNA from 1 species